rnacentral:lncRNA from 1 species
GGCGCAACACCAAUAAUAAGCUAUGGACAAAAUUUCUGAAAGGCCAUCUUGUAUAUUUCGUCCAUCUUAUUGUAUGUCAUCAUGGUGGCUUCAAAGUCCGGAAAUCUCCACUUGAACCUCUGUUCUUGUUCUCUUCGCACGCACCUUCAUCUCCGUGCUUGACCAUGCUCCAAUGUUCAACCUUCUUGUCUGUGCUAGGCCCUUCAAUAGCAAGCAACACAAAUGUAUCUAAGUUAGGCAGCAUCAUAUUCUCAUGAACACUAGAAACAUUAUCAAGAAACGAAAGUACCUGAUAAUUUAAUUGGUGUAUCUGAGCUCUAGCAACUAUUCCAAGAUGUAAAACAGUAGGGGAUAUGGGUGUAACUGUGGUAGCCAUGUCCUCAUCAUUGGCCAUGAAGGACAUCAUAGUCCGGCUAUGGCCAGCUAGACCUAUUCCGAGCAGCUACUUCGGCUUGGUCAAGCGGCUUGGCGACGCCUUACCCCGAGUAGAGGCCGUGAAGUGCUCGGCGUGUAUAGAAGGUGUGCGGAUGGCCUUUGCCCGUGUCAAGAUGCACUAGGCCAAAAUGAAGGCCGCCAUCGUAGCCAUCGACAGUCCGUCUGGGGGCAAGGACUACCGUAUGUCGGAGCAUUACUUUGAGGACAUCUUGGAAGGUGUCCGUUGAUAGAGGGCCAGUGCUCAAAGGACAUCAUGUUCGAGUGAAUGUGUCCGAACUGCCCAGAUAUUAUAUAAACCAAAGCUUUGUAAUAUAAACCAAGGCCUUGUAAUAUAUUGUAUGCAUUUAUCGUAAAGUGUUAUUCCCCCUGUGCGGUCGUUUUUAAUUCUUGAGAAUUUACAAGUUGUCGGCUUCAGCCCCCACGUAGAUACUACGGGGGUGUUCGAAAUAGCGCGUGACCACACUUGACCCAACUUCUUGGUCCGUAAAGGAGAUGGCAGUGCGGCGAACCAGGCAAUCGAACUAUACAGUUUUAUCAUUCUCACUUAGCCAUAGGAGUUUGACAAUGGGACUGUAGGGUAGCCCCUAGUGCGUAUGCGGCUAUCGAACUUGGAUGCCUUUUAAACGCUUGACUAGAAAAAGGCAGUCUUUCGUGUAAUAAAGAAGAAAUCGCUAGAGAUUUAGUAAGUCACCGAAUUGCUGACCAGCUCUCGCCGCAUCACGACAGUCAGUUUUGAGCUUUCUCUACUAAGGUGUUUGACUUGGCCAGCUGGAAACACAAUUGCAGUAGUUCUCCCUUUACUACCUUAGCCAAAAAACGGAACGUAAGGUAGCAAGCACAGGAGCCGGGCAACCCAACUAUUGACCAAAGACGUGAUUCAGAGCCGAUGCAUAUAAUGCAGUAUUCAGGACGCCGUAGUAUACCCUGAGAAUGUUCAGACUUUCUAUUGUUGAGAAUAUAUAUAUGGUUUAAAAUAGAGCCCCUGGCGAUUUAAGUCGUACCAUGGUGUAUAUGCCAAUUCGGACAUAAAGUGGGAAAAUGGAUUAAGAAAUAAGCCAAUAUCGAACAAGGUUGGGCGAAACUGUUUCCAUUAUAGUCUGAUUGGUACGUCAAAACGUAUUUUUUACAGAGGAUGACAUAAGAAUCAAGGCCAUUUUACAUACCGAGAACAAGGGAAAGUUGUAUACAUUUCCUAAAUUUGAAAGGAUGAUCUUGAAGAUCUUUUGGACACACUACCGCACAUCUGUGCCGCUUUUCCCUGUAGUAUAUGAUCCUUUGAGAGGAUCAAUGGUCGAGUGUAUAUGAGGGGCCUGGGAAAGGACCCUAAGUACCAUCGAAGAAUGGUGUGGGUUGUAAAGAACCUAAAAAGGAAAAACAAGGAAAAAGGGAAGAAUAAAAAGAUGUCCGGCCCGAUGGCCCGGAUGUCCGGCCCGACAAUUCCAGAUCUCGUUUGGGGCGGAAAUUUUUGCAUUGGGGGCGGAAAUUGAUGAUUCCAAGGUCAAAAUUGGAGAGAUUUCGUGGAUGAAAGGUGGGGAAACUUGGGGAUAUGCUAGAUCCACCUGAAACCAAGCAAAUCCAUGGAUUAAAUUCAACAAAACUUCGUCGAACCAACAAAUCACGAAAAAAUUUGGGGCUAUUUUUGGUGGAGAAUUUUUUGAAUUUAGGACGAAAUCAAACAAAAGAAGGCUAGAAAACAAGGGGAGGCUUCGAAAUCCUGAUCUACGUGGCUCAUGAUACCAAGAUGACGUAGGGUGGAACCAUAUACAGCCGAUCUUUCACGAAAGGAGUGGAUCCCGCGAAGAACAUAAAGAAAACAAGGGGGAAAACGAGGCAAAUCACGCAGGGAAACAUGAGAGAAUCACUAAAACCAACAAGAAAUAGUCACACAUAUGCUAGAUCCUCGAAACACAAAGAGAGAUACAAGAUCCACGAUCAACAAGGGACGAUACCAAGGUAGCCGGUUCUUCUCCGUGAGAAGGUCUUGUAUCCAUGAGGGGAUCUUCUCCGCGAGGAGGUCUUGAAUCCAAGUGGAUCUUCUCUGAAGAGGGGCCACGGUCUCUCUCGUGGAGUAGAUCCGGAUGGAUGAGCGAAGCUCUAUCUCACAAAUG